UACGGGGGGGCAAGCGUUGUUCGGAAUUACUGGGCGUAAAGGGCGCGUAGGCGGCCUUCUAAGUCGGACGUGAAAUCCCUCGGCUUAACCGAGGAACUGCGUCCGAUACUGAAAGGCUUGAAUCCGGGAGAGGGAUGUGGAAUUCCUGGUGUAGCGGUGAAAUGCGCAGAUAUCAGGAGGAACACCGAUGGCGAAGGCAGGUCUCGUGGGCAUUAACUGACGCUGAGGAGCGAAAGCAUGGGGAGCGAACAGG
rnacentral:rRNA from 1 species